AAGUCGUAACAAGGUUUCCGUAGGUGAACCUGCGGAAGGAUCAUUAGAAUGAGAGCCGGACCAUGUCGUGGGCGAAAUGCUCGCCAGUCAGGUCCAGGCCAGUUAAAUGGCCAGGUCCCCAAGGCUAAAACCCCUUGUCCAAAUCCCCCAUUUGCUUCGUUGAUUUGUAAGUUUCAUUUCCUUCUGGUUUGGUUUUUUGGGGCCAAGGGUGCCCGGCGGACCCCAUCUGGGGGGAACGCGCUGGGCUUCGGGCCUGGAGAGUGCCUGCCAGAGGACCAAAGCUCUGUAACUUUGAAUGCCGUCUGAGUACUACGAAUCUAUCGUAAAGGUUGCAAAUUG
rnacentral:misc_RNA from 1 species